rnacentral:rRNA from 1 species
UACGGAGGGGGCUAGCGUUGUUCGGAAUUACUGGGCGUAAAGCGUACGUAGGCGGCUUUGUAAGUUAGAGGUGAAAGGCCGGGGCUCAACUCCGGAAUUGCCUUUAAGACUGCAUCGCUUGAAUCAUGGAGAGGUGAGUGGAAUUCCGAGUGUAGAGGUGAAAUUCGUAGAUAUUCGGAAGAACACCAGUGGCGAAGGCGACUCACUGGACAUGUAUUGACGCUGAGGUACGAAAGCGUGGGGAGCAAACAGG